rnacentral:rRNA from 1 species
GGGGAACUCGGGCUAGUGGCGCACGGGUGCGUAACGCGUGGGUACCUGCCUUUAGGUUCGGAAUAACUCAGAGAAAUUUGAGCUAAUACCGGAUAAUGUCUUCGGACCAAAGAUUUAUCGCCUUUAGAUGGGCCCGCGUUAGAUUAGAUAGUUGGAGGGGUAACGGCCUACCAAGUCGACGAUCUAUAGCUGGUCUGAGAGGAUGAUCAGCCACACUGGGACUGAGACACGGCCCAGACUCCUACGGGAGGCAGCAGUGGGGAGUAUUGGACAAUGGGCGAAAGCCUGAUCCAGCAAUGCCGCGUGAGUGAUGAAGGCCUUAGGGUUGUAAAGCUCUUUUACUAGGGAUGAUAAUGACAGUACCUAGAGAAUAAGCUCCGGCUAACUCCGUGCCAGCAGCCGCGGUAAUACGGAGGGAGCUAGCGUUGUUCGGAAUUACUGGGCGUAAAGCGCGCGUAGGCGGCUUAUCAAGUCAGGGGUGAAAUCCCGGAGCUCAACUCCGGAACUGCCCUUGAAACUGGUUGGCUAGAAUAUUGGAGAGGUAAGUGGAAUUCCGAGUGUAGAGGUGAAAUUCGUAGAUAUUCGGAAGAACACCAGUGGCGAAGGCGACUUACUGGACAAUUAUUGACGCUGAGGUGCGAAAGCGUGGG